CAAAUGACUCUCGGCAACGGAUAUCUCGGCUCACGCAUCGAUGAAGAACGUAGCAAAAUGCGAUACUUGGUGUGAAUUGCAGAAUCCCGUGAACCAUCGAGUUUUUGAACGCAAGUUGCGCCCGAAGCCUUUCGGCCGAGGGCACGUCUGCCUGGGCGUCACAC
rnacentral:rRNA from 1 species